GAGCAUGCAGAUGGAUGAGGAGCA
rnacentral:piRNA from 1 species